CAGAGAACUUGCCCUUCGGGGUAGAUCUCCCACCCUGUGUUUACGUUACCAUUGUUGCUUUGACGGGCCCGUCCCUCGGGACCGCCGGCUCCGGCUGGCCCGUGCCCGUCAGAGGACCCAAAACUCUUGUUUAAAUGUCGUCUGAGUACUAUAUAAUAGUUA
rnacentral:misc_RNA from 1 species